rnacentral:rRNA from 1 species
UUCCCCUAGUAACUGCGAGUGAAGCGGGAAAAGCUCAAAUUUAAAAUCUGGCAGUCUUACUGUCCGAGUUGUAAUCUAGAGAAGCAUUAUCCGCGUUGGACCGUGUACAAGUCUCCUGGAAUGGAGCGUCAUAGAGGGUGAGAAUCCCGUCUUUGACACGGACUGCCAAGGCUUUUGUGAUGUGCUCUCAAAGAGUCGAGUUGUUUGGGAAUGCAGCUCAAAAUGGGUGGUAAAUUCCAUCUAAAGCUAAAUAUUGGCGAGAGACCGAUAGCGAACAAGUACCGUGAGGGAAAGAUGAAAAGAACUUUGGAAAGAGAGUUAAACAGUACGUGAAAUUGCUGAAAGGGAAACGCUUGAAGUCAGUCGCGUUGAUCAGAAAUCAACCUUGCUUUUGCUUGGUGUACUUUCUGGUUUGACGGGUCAGCAUCAAUUUUGAUCAUUGGAAAAAGGUCAAGGGAAUGUGGCAUCUUCGGAUGUGUUUAUAGCCCUUGGUUGUAUGCAAUGGUUGGGAUUGAGGAACUCAGCACGCCGCAAGGCCGGGUUUUUAACCACGUACGUGCUUAGGAUGCUGGCAUAAUGGCUUUAAUCGACCCGUCUUGAAACACGGACCAAGGAGUCUAACAUGCCUGCGAGUGUUUGAGUGGAAAACUCAAGCGCGUAAUGAAAGUGAAAGUUGAGAUCCCUGUCGUGGGGAGCAUCGACGCCUGGACCUGACCUUUUGUGACGGUUCCACGGUAGAGCAUGUAUGUUGGGACCCGAAAGAUGGUGAACUAUGCCUGAAUAGGGUGAAGCCAGAGGAAACUCUGGUGGAGGCUCGUAGCGAUUCUGACGUGCAAAUCGAUCGUCAAAUUUGGGUAUAGGGGCGAAAGACUAAUCGAA